rfam:Camelus ferus unplaced genomic scaffold scaffold77804, whole genome shotgun sequence.
UGGGUUAUAGCUCAGUGGUUGAGCGUGUGCUUGACAUGCACGAGGUCCUGAGUUCAAUCCCUGGUCCCUCCA